rnacentral:rRNA from 1 species
UACAGGAGGGUGCAAGCGUUGUUCGGAAUUAUUGGGCGUAAAGCGCGUGUAGGCGGCUUAGCAAGUCGGGCGUGAAAGCCCUCGGCUCAACCGAGGAAGUGCACCCGAAACUGCUGAGCUUGAGUGCCGGAGAGGAUGGCGGAAUUCCCCAAGUAGAGGUGAAAUUCGUAGAUAUGGGGAGGAACACCGGUGGCGAAGGCGGCCAUCUGGACGGUAACUGACGCUGAGACGCGAAAGCGUGGGUAGCAAACAGG